UACAGCCAUAUCAACUUGAAACAUCUGUUCUCAUAUGAUCACUGAAGUUAAGCAACAUUGAGCCCUGGUCAGUACCUUGAUGAGUAACUGCUUGAGAAUACCAUGUGCU